rnacentral:rRNA from 1 species
UACGAGGGGGGCGAGCGUUGUUCGGAAUUAUUGGGCGUAAAGGGCGCGUAGGCGGUCGGAUAAGUCUUGUGUGAAAUCUUCGGGCUCAACUCGAAGUCUGCACAGGAAACUAUCUGGCUUGAGUGUGGGAGAGGUGAGUGGAAUUCCUGGUGUAGCGGUGAAAUGCGUAGAUAUCAGGAGGAACACCAGUGGCGAAGGCGGCUUUCUGGCCUGUUCUUGACGCUGAGGCGCGAAAGCUAGGGUAGCAAACGGG